ACAAAUGCCGGUGCUGUUGUCAGUGUGUGAGAGAGAGAAAGUGGGUGAAAGGUUGACCGGGAGGCUGUGCGGGAUGACAUAAUCACUGUACAGUUAAGGGAAGAUGACCAGUUCAGUACCCAGUUGAUGUGCAGUACGGUCUUCAAUCACACAAGUUCAACCAAUUUAUGACAUGGCAGACCUGAGUUACAAAGGAAACCCAGGCCCACAGUCCCCCCGACGCUAAUGGAGUUAUUUCUUUUCAGCCUGAGAUAAUGGCCCAAGAACAAAUCCAUUUUGUCUGCACACUCAAUGUCCGUGUCAUUACAAAAGACAUCUCAGAGUGGCUGGUAAUUCAGUUUUGCUUUGGAAAUA